CACGCACGCGUGACGUCAGAUCAAAUGAAGACGAGCCGCGCGAGGAGCUUGUUAUCGGCUCGAGCUAUCCCCAGCAGGUCGGCUGGCUGCCGGUCCCACCCUCCGCUCCGUCCCCUGUUCGCGUUAUAAGGCAAGGAGGCUCUUGAAACUGACUCAUAUCAUUAUUCUACAUGGGCGGCAUCUGUUUGGAGAACAUUUUGAUGAUAUCUUAAAAGCACUCACGGCUAAGAAGGCCUGACCCGGUCACUGAAGAGAUGACGAUUCACUAUUUCUAUGAGCUCCGCAAACCGCAACCAUGAUGCUGCAAAUACCCUGCUGAGUCACUCUAUGUAACAGUAGAUCUAAUUUCUAAAAUAGCAUUUUGUCAAUUAAGGAUAAAAGAGGGUGAGGUCCUGCAUCUGUAUUCAGACAUUACUCAUAUCCAUUCAGACUCAAGUUACACCUGAUUCUUAAAGCCCUUUAAAAGCCACACCAUCAAACGUAGCAUCUGUGCUUCCUGGUGCAAAAAAUGGUUCUUUUAAAGAUUUCCUCAUCAUCUCUCAUCAAACAAAACUAUCCCCAUUCACUCCUACAAUCAUAUUUUAAAAAUAUGAAAACAAACAGGGUGGUGGUGCUGGUGAGGUAACGCUGUAUUAAAUGCUGGAAAUGACAAUAGCUGAUGCUUCUUUAAAUUCAAAAUAGGAUUUCUUAAAAUAGCUUGGGACACAUUUAACACUGCAGUAGGGACAGUUUUGUCUAUUUUUCUUUUCAGAGUAAAAUACGCUUGCAUUACACUACACUUCUGGAUGUUGUGUUGCUUUUGUGUAUUAAAAAGAACAAGCUGUUUCCAGAAAAUGUAUACCAAACAAUGAAAAGUCCUUUAUUGCCAUCAGAACAUGAGUGAGAAAA